rnacentral:rRNA from 1 species
AUGGCCGCCUUCGACGCGGCCGUCUCCGGCCUGGACACGGCGCCCGACCUCCGCCUCGCCGCGCACCAGUACGAGCAGCUCCUCCACUUGCUCGCCUCCGCGGACGCGCGCCGCGUUCCCCCGGCCGCCGCCGCGCGCCGCGUACACCGAGGGCGCGACGAGGCCUUCGGGCUCGUCUCCACCAUGCGGCAGAAGUACGGCCUCGCGCCGCGCCUCCGGUCCUACAGCCCCGUGCUUGCCAUGUUCCGGCGCGCCGGGGAGGCUGGAAAGGCCUACGCGGUUGAGGCCCACAUGGCGGCCUCCGCUGUAUCGCCGGAAGAGCCCGAGUUCGCCGCACUCCAUGAGGUCAGCGCAACAGUUUGGGACGCAGACAAGGUGUAUGAGUAUAUGCACAAGCUGCAGCGAGCUGUCGGCUGUGUGAUAGAGGAGACCACCGAGGUCUUGGAGGGGCGGUUCCGGUGCGAGAAGGCGGCAACUGCUGGUAAGGCUGAGUGGGAUGUGUGUCAGGUGAGGACGCCCUUGCGGCGAACGACGGUGGGUGCUAUCAACUGGGGUGGCUUUGGACCAGACCAUGGAUGGUGCAGCGAGCCUGGAGAUAAACCCCAUCACAGCAACCGCUUGUCGGCCAGCAGACGUGAUGAGGGGCUCGUCGGCACACCCAUGGCACCGCUGCGGAGCUAUCUUCCUCUUCCUCGCAUCGGCUCGAGGUGGGUGGAGGAGCUCGGCGCCCAUGACCUCCACAACGGCUCCAUCGACGCGCUCCACUGUCUUCUCGCCGGCGCGGGUCUCCGCCUGCCCCCGCACCCGGACGCCGUUGAGUUCGCUGCAAGGAGCAAUGGCAAGCAGCAGCAUCGGUGGCAAGUAGAAGCAGUGGGCAGCAGCAGCAGAGGGCAGAAGCGGCAGGCAGAAACGGAGGGCUGCUGCCGUGUCGUGAUUUGGAUGGAAAAUUGGAGACCGUGUCCUCCAACACAAUCAAUGGAGUGCCCGACCCGGAUUUUACUUGCCUGCUAUAAGAAGGAAGGGUUCUCGGUCGGAUUCUCCGUCAGGUUGCCUCCUUGGACCAUAAUCUUCAUCAAAUCCCGUCGAAAAUGUCAUGAAACGUCCAAUGUCGCCGCCGAGUUCGCUGGAGGAAGAAGCGCCGAGUUCGCCGGAGGAACAAAAUCAUCUGUUUAG